GGGGGGCCACCGAAAUGUGGGGGUGAUGGGGCAGCACCCACAGCCCCUGACUUGGGCAGUGCUGAGCACUCAGGACCUUGGCUCAGGGUCCUGAAGGAUUUGGGGUGGUGUUGGAGGCCUGUGAAGGGAUUUUGGGGAUUCUUUCAAUUGUCUCAUUGGAAUUUGGAGGUUCUCCCUCACUUCCAGGCUUGAGCUUCUGGGGGCUUCGGGGGUCCAGAGCACUGGGGUGGUUCAGGGGUUCUGGGGGACACCAGGGAUGCUCAGGGGUCCUGGGGGAAAUGGAGGGUGCAGUGGGGUUUGAGGAUUCCUGAGAGGGCUCAGGGCCCUGCGGACCCCACAGUUACCCCUCCCCUCUUUCCUUUGCAGCUGCCAGGAAGCAGCAGGAAAGGGCCCCCCCGGAGCCCCCGGCCCCCCCAGAGGAGGGGGAGGUGCUGUACACCCACGUCGUGAGCACCAAGCAGCCGAGGGCGUCCCCCCGUGCCACCACACUCCAGGAUCCCCAGGUGACCUACGCGGAGCUGGCAGCAACCCAUGGGCGACCGCGGGAAUGUGGGGACAUCUACAUGAAUGUGCUGUGACACUCGGGGCACUGGGGCACUGGGGGACACUGGGG